rnacentral:tRNA from 1 species
GCCUGGGUGGCUCAGUCAGCUGAGCGUCUGACUUCAGCUCAGGUCAUGAUCUCAUCACUCGUGAGUUCGAGCCCCACAUUGGGCU